rnacentral:rRNA from 1 species
GACGAACGCUGGCGGCGUGCUUAACACAUGCAAGUCGAACGGAAAGGCCCUGCUGUUGUGGGGUGCCCGAGUGGCGAACGGGUGAGUAACACGUGUGUAACCUGCCCUUGACUUUGGGAUAACUUCAGGAAACUGGGGCUAAUACCGGAUAGGAGCUCCUGCUGCAUGGUGGGGGUUGGAAAGUUUCGGCGGUUGGGGAUGGACUCGCGGCUUAUCAGCUUGUUGGUGGGGUAGUGGCUUACCAAGGCUUUGACGGGUAGCCGGCCUGAGAGGGUGACCGGCCACAUUGGGACUGAGAUACGGCCCAGACUCCUACGGGAGGCAGCAGUGGGGAAUAGUGCACAAUGGGCGGAAGCCUGAUGCAGCAACGCCGCGUGCGGGAUGACGGCCUUCGGGUUGUAAACCGCUUUCGCCUGUGACGAAGCGUGAGUGACGGUAAUGGGUAAAGAAGCACCGGCUAACUACGUG